rnacentral:lncRNA from 1 species
CCACCUCUAGCUGAGGAUCCAUUGAAGCUGACAGUGACCAACCUGGGAGAGGAAGAGUCAAUUUUCUUGAGAGGUGAAUCCCUGAUGGGAGGAAGAAGAGGAGCAUCAUCGGGACAUGGCAGCAGCAAGAGACACACACAGCCAACUACAGGGCCCAGAAGAGAGGCACACCUACCACCUUUAGUCUGAGGAAUGUUGAUCUGUGUCCCUUUUUCUUGACUCAUUGCUUUGGAUACACUUUCAGCCAAAGGACAAGUCAGAAUGCUGACCAGAGGCC